rnacentral:tRNA from 1 species
GUCUUGUUGGCGGAGGGGCCGCCGUGGUCUCGGGUGAUGCGGCGGUGUUCCUCGCGGGCCAUGCUGCGCCUGAUCUCUGUCAGGGGCGUGUCG